rnacentral:rRNA from 1 species
CCCUUCGGGGUGGAUCUAGUGGCGAACGGGUGAGUAACACGUGGGCAAUCUGCCCUGCACUCUGGGACAAGCCCUGGAAACGGGGUCUAAUACCGGAUAUGACCUUCCUCCGCAUGGGGGUGGGUGUAAAGCUCCGGCGGUGCAGGAUGAGCCCGCGGCCUAUCAGCUUGUUGGUGGGGUAAUGGCCUACCAAGGCGACGACGGGUAGCCGGCCUGAGAGGGCGACCGGCCACACUGGGACUGAGACACGGCCCAGACUCCUACGGGAGGCAGCAGUGGGGAAUAUUGCACAAUGGGCGAAAGCCUGAUGCAGCGACGCCGCGUGAGGGAUGACGGCCUUCGGGUUGUAAACCUCUUUCAGCAGGGAAGAAGCGCAAGUGACGGUACCUGCAGAAGAAGCACCGGCUAACUACGUGCCAGCAGCCGCGGUAAUACGUAGGGUGCGAGCGUUGUCCGGAAUUAUUGGGCGUAAAGAGCUCGUAGGCGGCCUGUCGCGUCGGAUGUGAAAGCCCGGGGCUUAACCCCGGGUCUGCAUUCGAUACGGGCAGGCUAGAGUGUGGUAGGGGAGAUCGGAAUUCCUGGUGUAGCGGUGAAAUGCGCAGAUAUCAGGAGGAACACCGGUGGCGAAGGCGGAUCUCUGGGCCAUUACUGACGCUGA